rnacentral:rRNA from 1 species
UACGUAGGGUGCGAGCGUUCGUCCGGAAUUAUUGGGCGUAAAGAGCUCGUAGGCGGUGUGUCACGUCGGCCGUGAAACCUGACAGCUUAACUGUGGGCGUGCGGUCGAUACGGGCAUCACUGGAGUUCGGCAGGGGAGACUGGAAUUCCUGGUGUAGCGGUGAAAUGCGCAGAUAUCAGGAGGAACACCGGUGGCGAAGGCGGGUCUCUGGGCCGAUACUGACGCUGAGGAGCGAAAGCGUGGGGAGCAAACAGG